GUCUAUUACGGUGAUAUUUAUAGUCUAGCCUGCUCAGUGACAUAAAAGUGUUAAAUAGCCGCGGUAUCCUGACCGUGCAAAGGUAGCAUAAUCAUUAGUUUUUUAAUUGGAAACUAGAAUGAAUGGUUGGACAAGAAAAAAACUGUCUCUUUUAUUAAAAUUGAAAUUAACUUUUAAGUGAAAAGGCUUAAAAUUUACUAAGGGGACGAUAAGACCCUAUAAAGCUUUAUAAAUUCAGAGAUUUUAGAUAUUUUAUAUAUAAAUUUAUUUUUUGAUAAUUUAUUUGGUUGGGGCGACAAGGGUAUAAUUAUAAAUAACUGCCAUUAAUGUUUAUACAUAUAUUUUUGAUUUAAAUUUAAUAUAGUAGUUGAUCCUUUUUAAGGAUUUAAAGAUCAAGUUACUUUAGGGAUAACAGCGUAAUUUCUUCUGAGAGUUCUUAUCAAAGAAGAAGUUUGCGACCUCGAUGUUGAAUUAAAAUGUCUUUAUAGUGCAGCAGCUAUAAAAGAAGGUCUGUUCGACCUUUAAUUUUUU
rnacentral:rRNA from 1 species